GAUGAACGCUGGCGGCGUGCCUAAUACAUGCAAGUCGAGCGAACGGACGAGACGCUUGCUUCUCUGAUGUUAGCGGCGGACGGGUGAGUAACAAGUGGAUAACCUACCUCUAAGACUGGGAUAACUUCGAGUAACCGGAGCUAAUACCGGAUGAUAUCUUGAACCGCAUGGUUCAAAAGUGAAAGACGGUCUUGCUGUCACUUAUAGAUGGAUCCGCGCUGCAUUAGAUAGUUGGUAGGGUAACGGCUUACCAAGGCAACGAUGCAUAGCCGACGGGGGCGGGUGAUCGCCCACACGGGAGCGUGAACACGGACCAGAGUCCUACGGGAGGCAGCAGUAGGGAAUCUUACGCAAUAGGCGAAAGCCUGACGGAGCAACGCCGCGUGAGUUGUGGAGGUCUUCGGAUCGUAAAACUCUGUUAUUAGGGAAAAACAUAUUUGUAAGGAACUGUGCACAUCUUGACGGUACCUAAUCAGAAAGCCACGGCUAACUACGUG
rnacentral:rRNA from 1 species